rnacentral:tRNA from 1 species
GGAGGAUUGGCUGAGUGGCUGAAAGCAGCAGUUUACUAAACUGCCGAACCCUAACCGGUUCCGAGGGUUCGAAUCCCUCAUCCUCCG